UAGAAAUGCCUGCUUCUCUCACAUACCUUUCUGGAGCACCAACUUUGUGGGUUAUCCAGUGUUUUGCUCUAGAUGGACUGGAAUGCUACAAACUUCAGCGGAGUGUUAUGCAGGCAGCAGGAUCCACCUCUGCACAGGAGUUUACAGAACUGGAGUCUAAAACGUAAUCUCUCCCAAUUACUUUUAGCCUUUUGAUGGCAUGUGUUGUGUUUGAAGCCUGCAGAGGACUGAAGAUGCCUGUGGCUGGGUUUUACUGGUUCGAGGAGGUGAGGAAUUCUGGCACUUGCCUGUGGAACAGAAACCAUCCUGCAGUCACCUCGCACCUUUCAUCUGAAUAAGACACUGUAUGGCAGGCAGGAAAACUAUGUAUUAUCCUCACUUAAAGACGUGUUGAAGAAAUAAUUUCUGCUACAAAUUGUGAUGCUGACCUUGGCAUGUCAUUCACCAUGAGAGUCAGCAGGAACGGUGCUGAAAACAGUAACCUCCUCUUUCUCUACCUUAACUGCUGAGUGGCACAUUCAGUAGCAUCAGCAUCUAUCGCUUCGGGUAUCACUGUUACAUUUGUUGGUAUCAGAAGAGUAAAGUUGAAUGUUUCCAGGAAUGGCAUGGGCAGAACUUUCUACAACCUCCCUUUCUGAGAAAAGAUGAAGCAGUCUGUUUCAGCAAAAUAUUGUCCUUUUACAUGUACAAACAGUUCUGUGUGAAAUGUAAAGCUGGUAUGCAGAGAUGGUUUGCAAUGGAUUAGCUAAGGUAUCAGGGAGUACUCAGCUUCUGUAUGUCUCGACCUGCUAGACUAUGAGCUUGUCAAGGGUAUCCGGACCGGGUCAUGCUGUGGACCGUCUUGCCCAGUGUCCUGCCUUGGGCAGUGGCUGAUAACAAGGUGUCUAGGGAAGGAACAAAGGUAACAGGGCACACAGGCACUAAUCCUUCCCACACGUAUCCUCCCACCCUCCCGGUCACCUGAAGUUUUGGAUCAACUGCACGUAGCAGUCUGCGUGGCCCACGUAAGGAUGUGUCCUUAGACAGCCUUUGGGACUGAGCGCUUGUAAACAAGUACGGAGGAGAAGCACCUUCCUGCUGCGGUUCAGACGGGUGCUGGAGCCCUGGGGAGCCAGCUGGCUCCACAGCUCUGCUCUGAAGGGAGGGCUUCAGCCCGCGUGAGCACGGUAACGUACUGCGUCCUUAUCUAACCCCCCCAGCACACACAAGUGACUUGGCAUGCUCUGUCUCACAGCGAGUGAGCAACCUCUGGGUCAGCAAGGCCAACGUUAGGUGACAUGAACGUGUAAAAUGAAUGUUUUGAUAGGUCCUACAGCAAAUAGAAUGUAAGCACAUAGGAAACACAAGGCAAAGGCAAGGGGCGAGUAUCCCAACUCACCCUUCUUGCUAGAGUUGGUCACUGUGCUUCGAAGGGAAGAGAUGAGAAGGGGAGUAAGGGUGCCUUACUGCAUUCUUAAUUAAUUACAUCUGUUCCUAUCUCCUUCGUGCCCCGGCCCGACGGGUACCGUGC